UACGUAGGGUGCGAGCGUUGUCCGGAUUUAUUGGGCGUAAAGAGCGUGUAGGCGGCCAGACAGGUCAGCUGUGAAAACUCGAGGCUCAACCUCGAGACGUCGGUUGAAACCGUCUGGCUAGAGUCCGGAAGAGGAGAGUGGAAUUCCCGGUGUAGCGGUGAAAUGCGCAGAUAUCGGGAAGAACACCCGUGGCGAAGGCGGCUCUCUGGGACGGUACUGACGCUGAGACGCGAAAGCGUGGGGAGCGAACAGG
rnacentral:rRNA from 1 species